rnacentral:rRNA from 1 species
AUUGAACGCUGGCGGCAUGCCUAACACAUGCAAGUCGAACGGCAGCACGGUUGCUUGCUCCUGGUGUCGAGUGGCGAACGGGUGAGUAACACAUCGGUACCCUUCCCGUGGCUUUGGAUUGCCCUCCGAAAGCCGGAGUUAUUCCGCGAACGGACCUCCUGCUGAAGCGUGGGACCUUGAGCGUUUCGGCUGUUGGGGUUGGCGAUGGCGGAUUAGCUAGUUGGUGGGGUAAAGGGCUAUCACGGCGACGAUCAGUAGCUGGUCUGAGAGGGCGAUCAGCCACACUGGGACGGAGACACGGCCCAGACUCCUACGGGAGGCAGCAGUGGGGAAUUUUGGACAAUAGGCGAAAGCCUGAUACAGCGAUGCCGCGUGUGUGAAGAAGGCCUUCGGGUUGUAAAGCACUUUUGUCCGGAAAGAAAUCCUUGGCCCUAAGACGGUCGGGGGAUGACGGUACCGGAAGAAUAAGCACCGGCUAACUACGUG